rnacentral:lncRNA from 1 species
ACCGGAAGUAGUGGGAAAGAAAGACUACGGGGGAAGUGGACGGGUUUAGAAAUGGUUCUUUGGAGCAACUGCCAUCUGCGUUGUCAGGAAAUCAGCAGUUCAGUUCACAGGUCAGCAGCGGUAGCAAUGCCCAGCAGAGACAGCCAGGCCUCAGCCUCAGCACAAGUCAGCAGGAGGGACCUGGAGGAACGCCAGGAGAAGUUCUCUGCUGUGCCUCUCAGCGAAGUGGAGAUCUGUGAAGAUGGAAGAGACUAAGAAGUGUUUAGCUAUGUAACCAAGCCAAGCUCAGCCUCCAUCACAGUCCGUCGAGUCCUUUUUGUGCUCCCUCCAAACAUCACAUGUCCUCCAGCGGUCUUGCCUUAGCAAGUGCAUCUGUCUCAGCCGACAUCACUGUGCCAAUCAGCCCGCGUCCUCAGAAGCAGCAAGACACACCACCAGGUUUUUGGUGCGUUUUUGUCUAUGGAGUCCCGACAGAUGCAGCUCAACUAUGCCAUGUAAGGCUGAUCAAUACAUGUGUGUCGUUAGUGAAGAAUCCUUCAUUACAUGUCCUUUCACGUGUUUUCUUUAGCAGAACAUCCUUUCAUCUGUCUGCUUCAGCAAAAUGUUUCUUCACAAGUCUGCCUUAGCCUUUCACCUGUGUCCACUCCAGGAAAACACUCCUUCUCAUGUUUGCUCCUGCAAAACACCAUCCAACACAACUGACUUUCCAAAGAACCCUUAAGUUUCCACUUGAGCCCAGCCUUGUAUGGGCAGUGCUAUCCCUGGGCAGGUGGGCUUAGCUAGUGGUCAAAGUGGAUUGGAGAGCCUGGACGCUGUUCCUCAGUGCCUUGGCUCAGUUCCUGAUGGCUUCCCUCAGUGGACUUCUGUACGCAAUAAGCCAUAAACUCUCUACUCACCCAAGCUGCUUUUGGUUAGUGUUCUACACUAACACAGAAAAGUAACUACAACAAUAUAGAGUAAAUUAAAAUACAUCUAUGUGUGUAUAUGUGUGCAUGAUAUGUGUAGAUACACACACGUAGGCAUCACUGCCCUCCCAAAUACUAGAGGAUGAGUUCUAAAUGCUUUAGACCAAUCCAAAAAGAUCAAUCUGGCUUAAUGGUCCAUUCUAUACAAACCACUUGGGAGAUGGCUACAGGGGGAUUGGGAGUCCAGAGUCAUCCUCAGCUACGAGUUCAAGGCCAGCCUGAACUAUAUGAGUCUUUGUCUUUUAAAAAGGUAGUUGGUGUGGUCCAUGGUGGCUCGUUCUUGUAGUCCCAGCACUUGGGAGGUGGAGGCUGAAGAAUCAUCCCUGGGUAGUGACUGUGAGGCCAGCUGACCUACAUGAGACCCUGCGGAAGGAAGGAAUGAGCUCAGACUUGAUAAGACUGAUCAAAAGAUCCUCCCAGUGUCACCUCUGACUAUGUAGAAGUUCCAAGUAAGUAAACGGAACUGUAAGCACUGUUCUCAUGAGGCUGUGCACCUGCAGUCAGCGUCAGCAAUACCAUCAAACCAGCGAGUGCUAGCUAGUCCUCUGGAAGGAGAAUAUCUGUUUCACCUUUACAAUUACGAUUAUUGUUGAAGAGAAUGCCCUCAUUUUUAGAAAAUAUAAAGACAAUUUGAGAUGUUCCAGGAAUCUUAGUUUGUGAUGUACACAGGAGGAGAAGCUGCAAUUACUGUUUGGAAAUCUGCAGGAAAGUGUACAGAAAUUCUUUAUAUUCUGUUUGCAACUUUAAGUUUAGAACAACUUUAAAAUUAAGGUCUUUAAGUGAAAGAUAAAACAUGUAUCAGUGUAUGUUGUUUUGAGUGGGAUUUGAUAAAAACCCUAAGUUCAAGAAAACAUAUUUGUAUGUAUAUGAUCGACCACCAAGAAACUAAAGUGUUUGACUUGUAAGUGCUGGCUGCCUCUCAAGGCUGAACAAGGCAGGACAUCACUGUGAAAGCAGCUAGAGGAGAAUACCAAAUGGGAACAAAUUGUGGAAAGUAAAUUCUGAUGUGCAAUUGUGCAUUUAGAAAACCCAAAGGCAGUUGUAAAAGCUUAACUUGGUGACUGACUAAAUAAAAGCUCAGUAUACAAAAAAAAAAAAAAUAUAUAUAUAUAUAUAUACCUCUUUAUCGU